GCCGGAGUGGCGGAAUUGGUAGACGCGACGGAUUCAAAAUCCGUUGCCCGUAUAGGGCGUGAGGGUUCGAGUCCCUCCUCCGGCA
rnacentral:tRNA from 1 species